CCUACGGGUGGCAGCAGUGAGGAAUAUUGGUCAAUGGGCGGAAGCCUGAAGCAGCAACGUCGCGUGAGGGAAGACGGUCCUAUGGACUGUAAACCCCUUUAGGCGGGGAGCAAUGCCGGGCACGCGAGCCUGCAGGGAGAGUACCCGCAGAAUAAGCAUCGGCUAACUUCGUGCCAGCAGCCGCGGUAAUACGGAGGAUGGGAGCGUUUUACGGGUUUAUUGGGUGGAAAGGGUGCGCAGGCGGGGAGGUAAGUCAGCGGUGAAAUGCCCCCGCUCAACGGGGUGAAGUGCCUUUGAUACUGCCUUGCUGGAAUGCGGAUGCCGUGGGAGGAAUGUGUUGUGUAGCGGUGAAAUGCAUAGAUAUCACACAGAACACCGAUUGCGAAGGCAUCUCACGAGUCCGCGAUUGACGCUGAUGCACGAAAGCGUGGGUAUCAAACAGGAUUAGAUACCCGAGUAGUC
rnacentral:rRNA from 1 species